CCUACGGGCGGCAGCAGUGAGGAAUAUUGGUCAAUGGCCGGAAGGCUGAACCAGCCAUGCCGCGUGAAGGUCAGUGCCCUCUGGGCGUUAAACUUCUUUUGUGCGGGAGCAAUAAUGGUCACGUGUGGCCAGACGAGAGUACCGUACGAAUAAGCAUCGGCUAACUCCGUGCAAGCAGCCGCGGUAAUACGGGGGAUGCAAGCGUUAACCGGAAUUAUUGGGUUUAAAGGGUGCGUAGGCUGUGAGGUAAGUCAGCUGUGAAAUGCCCCCGCUCAACGGGGUGCAGUGUCAUUGAUACUGCCUUGCGGGAAUGCGGAUGCCGUGGGAGGAAUGUGUGGUGUAGCGGUGAAAUGCAUAGAUAGCACACAGAACACCGAUUGCGAAGGCAUCUCACGAAUCCGCGAUUGACGCUGAUGCACGAAAGCGUGGGUAUCAAACAGGAUUAGAUACCCUUGUAGUC
rnacentral:rRNA from 1 species